UGCUCUAUAGUGUAACGGCAGCACUACGGUCUCUGAAAUCGUCAGCCUUGGUUCGAAUCCAGGUGGAGCAGC
rnacentral:tRNA from 1 species